GACAGAGGAUGCAAGCGUUAUCCGGAAUGAUUGGGCGUAAAGCGUCUGUAGGUGGCUUCUUAAGUCCGCUGUCAAAUCCCAGGGCUUAACCCUGGCCAGGCGGUGGAGACUACUAAGCUUGAGUACGGUAGGGGCAGAGGGAAUUUCCGGUGGAGCGGUGAAAUGCGUAGAGAUCGGAAAGAACACCAAGGGCGAAGGCACUCUGCUGGGCCGACACUGACACUGAGAGACGAGAGCUAGGGGGAGCGAAUGGG
rnacentral:rRNA from 1 species